AUUGAACGCUGGCGGCAGGCUUAACACAUGCAAGUCGAGCGGAGAGAGGUAGCUUGCUACUGAUCUUAGCGGCGGACGGGUGAGUAAUGCUUAGGAAUCUGCCUAUUAGUGGGGGACAACAUUCCGAAAGGAAUGCUAAUACCGCAUACGCCCUACGGGGGAAAGCAGGGGAUCUUCGGACCUUGCGCUAAUAGAUGAGCCUAAGUCAGAUUAGCUAGUUGGUGGGGUAAAGGCCUACCAAGGCGACGAUCUGUAGCGGGUCUGAGAGGAUGACCCGCCACACUGGGACUGAGACAAGGCCCAGACGCCUACGGGAGGCAGCAGUGGGGAAUAUUGGACAAUGGGCGAAAGCCUGAUCCAGCCAUGCCGCGUGUGUGAAGAAGGCCUUUUGGUUGUAAAGCACUUUAAGCGAGGAGGAGGCUACUUGGAUUAAUACUCUAGGAUAGUGGACGUUACUCGCAGAAUAAGCACCGGCUAACUCUGUGCCAGCCGCCGCAGUAACAC
rnacentral:rRNA from 1 species